CCUUAGAGUUUGAUCCUGGCUCAGAUUGAACGCUGGCGGCAUGCCUAACACAUGCAAGUCGAACGGUAACAGGCCUUCGGGCGCUGACGAGUGGCGGACGGGUGAGUAAUACGUAGGAAUCUGCCCAUUAGUGGGGGAUAACCCGGCGAAAGCCGGGCUAAUACCGCAUACGCCCUACGGGGGAAAGCGGGGGAUCGCAAGACCUCGCGCUAUUGGAUGAGCCUACGUCGGAUUAGCUAGUUGGUAGGGUAACGGCCUACCAAGGCGACGAUCCGUAGCUGGUCUGAGAGGACGAUCAGCCACACUGGGACUGAGACACGGCCCAGACUCCUACGGGAGGCAGCAGUGGGGAAUACUUGGACAAUGGGGGAAACCCUGAUCCAGCAAUGCCGCGUGUGUGAAGAAGGCCUUCGGGUUGUAAAGCACUUUCGAUAGGGAAGAAAAGCUGGUUGUGAAU
rnacentral:rRNA from 1 species